CCAGUUGUUUCCAUCUUCCUCCUUCUCCUUCUGUCCUGUCCUCCCCAACCCCCAAAAGAAUCUUUGGUCAGGAGCUGCCCAGUUUCCCUCGGAACUCCCCCUCCUCAGGCCUUGGGGGUGGGGCGGGGGAUGUGCUGAACACCCUGCCCCGCGGCUCCGGCUCCCAGGGGGAGAGGUUGUAAUUAACCAACCGACUUUGACCCUUGAUCUGCAGGCUCCCUGGCACCGCCCCAGGCCUUGUAGGAAAGUGGUGAAAUAUGGGCAGUGAGGGGCCCUGUGAGGGCUCUUGCCUCAGUUUCUCUCCGGAAGAAAUGGUUGGAGUCUAUGGGUGUAGUGGUGAGGUCUCUGGGGCCUGAUGUCUCAGGAUCCUAUGGUGCUGGUCCUAGGUGCGGGCAGGGUGGUUCAGAGCUUAACCUUAUCUCAAGUGCCUAGGCCCCCUUCUAAGCCUCCUGCAAACAAGGGACUGUGCCAGAAGUCCUGAUGACCCAACAGGGAAACAGACAAAAAGAGAAGUGAGGAGUUCCCGUCGUGGCACAGCGGUUAACGAAUCCGACUAGGAAGCACGAGGUUGCAGGUUCCAUCCCUGGCCUUGCUCAGUGCGUUAACGAUCCCGCGUUGCCGUGAGCUGUGGUGUAGGUCGCAGACAGAGCUCGGAUCCCGAGCUGCUGUGGCUCUGGCGUAGGCUGGCGACUAAAGCUCUGAUUAAACCCCUGGGAACCUCCGUACACUGUGGGAAGGGGCCCUAGAAAAGGCAAAAAGACCAAAAAAAAAGUGAGCUGCCUCCUUACCGGAGGCAGAGCAGGGUGUAGGCCCAGGACUCUGGUACAACUUCUUGCUUCUCUGAGCUCCCCGGCAUUCCCCCUCCAGAAGGGCCAGGCGAGGGGUGAGGGACCUCCCUCACCUGUUUGACUUGCUGCUUAGCUGCUCCUUGGGAUCUGAUAACCUGAACUUGGACUGUGCUAAAGGUGAGUGGAGUCUUGCCCCAGACUCCGUGUGCUGUUAUUUUUAGUUUUAUUUCACAUCCCAACCAGUAACCGAUCAUGGGUUGACUUUUACGAAGGACAAAAAAAAUUCCAUUUGUUCAAAUCAUUGACUUCCUUUGCGUCCUAGUGAUUUUCCCCACAGCGUUCUGGUGGCCGUGGCGGGAGUGGCGGAGAGACCUUCCCCCCCAGGGCUUGUCCCAUCAGGUGCAGAGGGGGGCAUUCCGGUGGUCGCUGCUGUCCAGGUGAGGGGGCCACUCACUCGCAGGGUCAUCCAGGUGUUGGGUGGGGUCUGACCAGGAGGUGAGGCGGGCCCGGGAGUGUCCUGUGGGGUCAGGCAAAGAGCAGAAGUCAGAGAACUUACUUUUGCUCUAAAAGCCAUGUGGCCCACCGGAGAGAUUUCCCACAGUUUUUGGAAAUGAGAAAGGGCAUGUUCUCGGGCCACGCUUGGGUGCCUCAGAUGGCUGGAGAGUGUGUUCUGUGGUGGCCUGUGCCCCGGCUGGGCCAUUCCAUCACCAGCCGACCGUGACCCCGGGAGCCGGCUAGGCACGUUUUCCUUCACCCCGCCUCACAGGCGCAGCAUGCGGUGACCAGCUAAGCAUCGACCCCGUCCGGUCCCCCGGGAGAGGCACCGGGAGGGCUGGGGAAUGGAGCGUUGAGGUCUGACCUUCCCGCCAGGGUCCUCCGGGACCCUUAGGGUGGCAAGUGCCUGGAAAGCACGGCUUCCUGACCCAAGGCUGGGCCGCAGCCUGGCAGCUCCGAGUCCAGGGCCCCCGAACUGUAGCCUCUCCCUGAGGCCCAGCUUUAGACUCCCCCACUCAGUCCCCUGGGCCUCGCCCUCCUGCCAGCUGACAGAAAAGCAAAGCCAGUAGGUGCGGGAGCUGGAAAGCCACUGGGGUGGCAGAUGUCGUGCCAGGAGCUUUGAAGGGUUUAUGGUUAAGAUGCCACCUAUGUGGGCCCUCCAGCCGACGCCUGAGCCCCGCUCUCCAUCUCCCCUGGAACUUCUUUUUUUUGUUUUUUAGGGCCACACUCAAGGCACAUGGAGGUUCUGAGGCUAGGGGUCUAAGCGGAGCUACAGCUGCCAGCCUACUCCAGAGCCACAGCCACAGCUAUGCCAGAUCUGAGCCGUGUCUGUGACCGACCUCACAGCUCGCGGCAACGCCGGAUCCUUAACUAGCGUCCUCCUGGAUCCUAGUCGGGUUCACUACCCCUGAGCCACGACAGGAACUCCUCCCCUGGCAUUUUGCUUUUGGUACAUCAAUUUUGACUGUAGGGUGCAGGGAGGGAGGCUGGUUUCCUGACGAAGAAUCCAGGCACCUGUACCCAGGGGCUAAAUUCCAUCUCCUGGUCUGACGGGGAAGCUCCAGGAACAGGGAGGAACAGAGAUAAAGUGGGGUUCUCCAGGCCCACCGCUGAGUGAAAUCACAAAGGCCAGGGAGGCCCUGGAGGGUAGACCAGGCCUGGAAGCUGAAUGACCUGCUCCCAGCCACAAGCAUCCCAUCCUGCGGCCUCUUCCUACUGCCUGUAGGGCCUCCUCCCAUCCCUUCCCCACUUUGGACGGAGCCCCUGAAGGCUGUUCUGCAGGUGGGUCUGCCUGCACCCAGCCCAGGGGGACAGCCAGGCUGGGGGGCGGGAGAUGGGAGUUUCCUCGGCCUGGCUCAGACUAGGCAGUGUGGGACCUUGGCAGCUCCCUUUCUGGGCUGGGUUAGAAAGGCUGAGAAAGUCAGCUUGGGCCCCAGAGUGCACAUGUGGGGGUGGGGGUGAAGGGGAGAGAUUAGGCCUCUGAUUAUUCCUUUAAUUCCUGGGAAGUGUUGGCAGUGUAGCCCCGGCAGCUACAGCAGAGCAGCGUAGUUCCAGCAGAGGGCUGGAGAGAUACCUAGCUGUCCCACAGGGUGCGUCACCCAGGCUGCCAGGCUGUUGGUCCCUAGCUCGGGUGACUGGAGGCGGAGUCCUGCCAGACUGUUUGUCCCAGAAAGAGAGCAGGUGAGAAUGAGUCCUCUGGGUACAGGGAGGACAGGAGUAAAGCGUGGCCACUGUUGAAGUCAGGCCUCUUUAACUGUUCACUUUCAACGAUCAUUCUGCGACGUCCCCCAGGGGUGCCCAACCCUACGCGGCCCAGGGGGUGGGAAGGCGUUGGCUCUGCCGUAAGGCUGAGGUGCACAGUUUUAACUGCGUUAUGGACACGGUAUGAAAAACAGUUGGAGUCUUUCCAUCGUGGCUCAGUGGAAAUGAACCCAACUAGUAAGCAGGUUGGAUCCCGGUCCCUGCUCAGCAGGUUAAGGAUCCAGCAUUGCCGUGAGCUGUGGUGGAGGUCACAGAUGCAGCUCAGACCCACUGUUGCUGUGGCUGGGGCAUAGGCCGCCAGCUGCAGCUCCAAUUCAACCCAAGUCUGGGAACUUCCAUGUGCUGCGGGUGCAGCCCUAAAAAGCAAG
ensembl:lncRNA